CAGUAGCCGCGGGAAUACGUAGGUCCCGAGCGUUGUCCGGAUUUAUUGGGCGUAAAGCGAGCGCAGGCGGUUUCUUAAGUCUGAUGUGAAAGCCCCCGGCUCAACCGGGGAGGGUCAUUGGAAACUGGGAAACUUGAGUGCAGAAGAGGAGAGUGGAAUUCCACGUGUAGCGGUGAAAUGCGUAGAGAUCUGGAGGAAUACCGGUGGCGAAGGCGGCCCCCUGGACAAAGACUGACGCUCAGGUGCGAAAGCGUGGGGAGCAAACAGGAUUAGAGACCCCUGUAGUCCCUGUCUCUUAUAA
rnacentral:rRNA from 1 species